rnacentral:rRNA from 1 species
GACGAACGCUGGCGGCGUGCUUAACACAUGCAAGUCGAACGGAUCAGGGGAGCUUGCUUUUCUGGUUAGUGGCGAACGGGUGAGUAACACGUGAGUAACCUGCCCUUCACUCUGGGGAUAACUCCGGGAAACCGGGCUAAUACUGGGAUACGACCCGAACGAGGCAUCUGUAUUCGGGUGGAAAGAUUUAUUGGUGGGGGGAGUGGACGUCGCGGCCUAUCAGCUUGUUGGUGAGGUAAUGGCUCACCAAGGCGACGACGGGUAGCCGGCCUGAGAGGGCGAUCGGCCACACGUGGGAC